UCUAAGCCUCUUCUUGUUUAACAACAGGUCCAUUACAGCCAUUGGCUCCAUCUUCUGGACCAUUCCUCUCCAUGAAACUCUGGUUGCUUGGGCAGAUCACCCCAAGGUUCAUAUCAGGUUUCCUUCUGUCAGGUGGAAUGGUGCAGGUGGAGGAGCCUUUCUGAUUGGAUAUUGCACUGGCAAGAGCAAUUGGCAUGAGGCAGAGGCCUUUGUUCUGAAGGUACUGCAUUGCCAUGGUGACGUUGGAUUCCAUCAGCUUCACAACUUCUUGCUCAAAGGCUAAUGUAUCCUGCGACUCAGAUAAAUCUGCUCCCUGCCCAACUGAUGAUGAUGAUGAUAGGAGCAGACUGCCAGAGCCCUGCAUUGAAAUUAACAGUUUUAAAUCACAUAACACUUUUCCAUCAAGGAUGAGAGCUUUCCAGAGAGAACAAAGAAUGUGCUGUUACAAAAUGUUCAGAGUUGGCUAAAUGACUCUGGUCAAACAUUAUCGAAAGUUCUUGAUCAGACUAAGAAAAGGAGCAAAGUCAACAAAUUGCCACACAAAGUUCGAACAGACUUUCGGUCAAACAUUAUCAAGAGUUCUUGAUCAAACUAAAGAAAGGAGCAAAGUCAACAAAUCGCCCAUACAAAGUUCGAAAAGACUCCCUCUCAGACUAGGUUGCAUAUUUUUAACUCUCUCAGAACACUUCCAAAUCUUUCACCAAAUUCAGCAACCUAUUUAGGGUCCAUUUGGAUGCCCGAUAAUUUUUGAUAAGUGGUUGUCAUUGUCUUAAGAAGGUGAAGGAAAAGAACUGAUGGACUGGUCAAAAGCCUGCCAAGUACUAGCAACCCCCAUACUUCCGAGAGAAUGAAAUUCCACUAAAAAGGUGGUUUUCAUUAUCACUAAGGUACGGGGCUAUGGGAGUCCUGACCUUUCUCUGAUCAGAAGAACACUUCCCUCUGCCCUGCCAAGUCUUCUCACCAUUAGUUAUAGAAGGAAUUUUCCAAAUACAAGUUUAAGCAGGCAUCCAAAUAGCCCCUUAAUCUCUCAGGUGACAUACAUGGAGAAGAAAAAUAGCACAAGACUUUGCUUUGCUUUCAGGUUUUUAAAUGAUGAAGGGUAGUUUUUAAUUAGAGGAUUCAAAUAAAACCAAAGCAGUGUCAACUUCAAUAGGAAGCACAGUCACUCAUAAUACUCAAUUUGGGUUGGAGAUGUCAAUAUUUUUACCCCAGAGAUUUCUUUUCUUUUUUCUUCUCCACUUGUAAUAAUUUGAGUUUCGAGAAUGAUUACGACUCCUCAAGAUACGUCCUUAAUGAAGAGUGAAUGCAUGCACACAAAAAAUUAAGGUAACAAAAAAAUUUAACAAGAAAAAGUAUGUCGCAAAUCCAGUCCAUAUUGCAGAAGAUAACAAUUUAUAAGAGACAAUUUAGUAGUAUAGUCACUAAUUAGAAACUGAAGUGACAAACAUAACAAGGCCUUACUCCAUUGAUUUUAUGGAAAUAGCCUGAUUCCACAGAACAAAAAGCAACAUCAAACCGAAUAAGGACAAGCAGCUAGCAUGUGAUGCUCUAAUAGGACAACAGGCAUUUAAAAUGGAAGGGAAAUGAUUUGGCACCUCAGCUUGAGAAUCUGUGAGUAGGGGGACCACUGCCCCAGCUGCACCCAAGCGACUCAUGCUUAAGACCUCCAGUUCAAACAUCAGAAAGAAUAUUAGAGAUAGAGCAGAAUAAAGUUCUGUAAUGGUUUGAACUUUGAAGUGUAGUUUGGAAGCAAACCUUGACCUGCAGCUGAAGGAAUUUGACAUAGUCGAUGAUUUCAUCAAGCAUUGAUGCCUUAUCCGUCUGCAAACCGAAAGUGGAAAAAUCAGUCAUAAGCAGCUGCAGGCAAGGUCAGAAGAAACAGUUGCUAUUUCUCUCCUCAAAUUAAGGAACCAAAUACAAAGUUGAAAAAAUAGAUGACGCUAUUUCGCAGCAAGGGAUAAAAUCAAGCUUAAGGCUUCUAUAGUUGCAUAACCAAUUACGAGAGUGAACAAAAUGCAAAGAACACCCUCUCAUAGAAAAAUGAGACAGAAAACUGAAUAACUAACUGAUCAUGAGAGUGCAGAAUAAGACUGCAACAUCAGCACUUAAGUGAUAAAUUAACUGUGACAAUUCUAUAAACAUUCCAGCAAAGCUACCCCUGACUUAUGAUGGCAUGCAAAAGACAUUGCACUACUGACUCGGAGAAAAUAGCUCUGUAUUAUGUUUCGAGAAGAUCAAUGUGCAUGGAGGAAGAGAACAUGAAAACUAUUGGUCCCUUGAAAUUGUUUAAAUUCAGUCACAAACUACACCCGGCAACAGAGUGACUACAAGACAAUUUAUACUUGGGAACUCUAUAUUCAUGAAAGACACAUUAGGAUUGUUGAUGUGGCAAAGAUCAGAUGAUCUAUUCUACCGAUAGAAAUAUGAAUAUUUCACGCAUGCAAUUUUUGCAGACAUAUGCCUGGAGCGACUACACAAGCCUCUGAAGAUGCAAAAUUUUUGGAAAGGACAAAAGAGAAAAGAGAGAAGGAAAGAAUCAUUAUUCCAUCCAUUCAUCUCUAAAUAUCGAGAGCCACUCUUGUCUCUUCCCUGCCACAAGCCAUAAGAACUAAAUCAUAGGGGCCAGUAUAAUUGCAGGACUGUUCUCCCAGAGAGAGGGAUUGCUAUUCCCAUCUGCUUUUUUCCUGGAGACAAGUUGUUUUCCAAUUUGGUUGCACACUGUUUCCCACUGGGAUUGACUGGCGUAAGUAUGAGAAGCUCUUUGCUUUAUCUAUAGGAUGAGGGAGAGGAAAGAUUUCUUCUUAAACAACUCGGCAGCCUUGUCCUUCCUCUCUUGACUAUCUUUAAGUGAUGCAGCGCAGGCUACAAUGUAGGAGCCAUGCAGGAUAAAACUAGCAACUAUCAUGAUCAAAUAGACCAUGCCAAACCCCCAAUUUAAUGAGAUUAAGAGGUUUUUAAGGAAAUUUCCUAUUAAUUUUCCAUUGAACAUAUCAUUAGUUUCCGCUGAAAUUUUAUAUUUUUUAGCCCUGUAAUUUUGCAUGUUUCUUUUUAUUUUUACAAUAGAUAUUCUAUUUCUAGUUGGAAUUUGUAGAGCUCAUCUAUAUUAGGUGGCCUGCACUUUUGUUUUGAACAGGUGCAAUUUAGUUCUAAUAAUAACUUAGUGGAGAAGAUUUUCUUCCACCUCUAUCUCUCUCAUCCUUGUGCUGCUGCUUCUCUACAACUUGCAUCUCAUUUUGGGGCUGCAUUAUUUAACCUUGAGGAUGGCUCAAGCCCAAGGCAUGACCAACCUCAUAUUUGUAUGUAUGCAUACUAUAAUAUUAAAUAUAUAUAUCUAGAAUAUCAUGUAUCCUUGUUUCUAUAUUUGAUCAUACAAUAUAUAAGUAUUUUUACAUUAUAUAUAACAUACUAUGAUGGAUUUGCAGGAAAAAAUCCACUUUAAUCUAUUUUUUGCAGAAAUGAUCCAUUUUGGACUUCACUAGACCAUUAUGCUUCUAAUCUCCAAUGACUGCACCCAUUUAUCUUCCUUGAUUCACAUACAUUGGUAAAGAAUGUAGACUUAAUACAGACUGAUGAACAUGUAGAAAUGUCCUCAUAAGUAGUCACAAGGGGGCAUGGGUAAAAUGAACCUUUUUUUUAGGGGAUGGGGGGUGGCUUGUUCUUAUUGCAAAAUAUUAAGGUAAAGUAGACUUUUCUUCUAAAACUUGUCAAUCCAUAUGCUUAUGUUUACUUGAAUGAUGCAGUUAUAAUAAACAAAGGGUGUAAAGCAAGGAUUUUGACAUAUAUUGCCCAAUUCAGCUAGCAGAGUUGAAAAAUGGAAAUCUAAACAGUUGGAUUACUUUUCAAGAUCGAAAAUAUCUACAAACAAACCCGAAAAAACAUCAGUUUUGCAAUCUUCUUGCCUAUAAGCUGUCACUAAGACCCAUAGACUUGAACCUGACACACACCCAUAAGCCUAUGGUUCAAGCAUGGUUCCAGUUAGACCCCUAAAACUUUCUAGGUCCCAGUCUAGCUCUAGUGUAUGUGCACCCAUGCAGACCUGACCUAAUCCAGGGUAAGAGACUAAUUUUUAUGAACUUGAACUAAUCCAAACCAAGACUUGACAGCUUACCAAGUGUCAAAUGUAUUUUUUUUUGUUCAAACCCUUCAUAUUUGUUAUAGAAAUUACUAAUUAUGCUCUCCAUGUCAAUUAUCUUGAGAUGUGAAGGGAAUUGAACUUUCUAAAUAAUAGUACCCAAAUAGGACCCAGAUUCAAACCUGAUCUAUACCCAACCUAAACCCCCUAUGGGUAUUAAUAAACCUAGACUUGAUUUUUCAUUUUCCUCUUUUUUUUUGUGAAAAAAUAACCUAAUGGAUCUUAUAUGUUCUCUCUUACCUAGACCCAAAUCCCACCAGAUUCUUGGAUGGGAAUAGUAAAUAUAAUUUAUGUAGAUACAACACAAGUGAUGUUAUAAUACAUAUUAUAACAUGCAUAGUAUAUUAUAACAUUAAAUCAUGUAUAUUAAUAUGUAUAUGUAGUGUAUUCUAUAUGAGGGGAAUUGGGGUAAAGUGCAGUGCUGUGGAGUAAUUUCAAUAAUUCCACAAUUGCACUGGUAAUAACUUGAGGCCUUCAUCUCAACCACCCCCCCCCCCCCCCCUCCUCCCCCUUUCCUUGCCCUGAAAAAGAGAACUUUUAUCUCAGGAUAAGCUGGUUUGACUAGGAUAACAAACAAUCCAUACUGAUCCGCACGCAGGUUCUUCGGAUGUCUAGCAAGAUAACAGGCAUAAACCCUCUCAUCCCCAGUCUGGUCCUCCAAUGAAACUAGGCCUAGGUAAACUGUUGUUGUCAAAAUUGGCGUCUAGGUGCUUAGAGAAACCAGACCAAUACAGUUCAUUUGGUUAUUUUUAUGUACGAUUUAGGGAAAAUAUGAGGUUAAUUACAUUAUUUUCGAACAAAAAAUGGGAAAAAAAAAUUCUACCCUUUGGGUAAUUGGACGGUAGCCGAAAGACUAUUAGGAUGCCUCCUAUUGGAGGUGAAUCAGUGGAUGGUUGCGCAUCUGGCUGGUUGCUCCUUGCUCUAGCUUCUGAAAAAGGAGGCAAUUCUGGGGUCAAGUGACAAGAGUCGGUGAGAUGAGGGAAAUGAUAAGUACAUUUGUUAUUUUCACUCCUAUUCAUUUAAAAUAAGUUUACUUCAGCCAUAAGAGUUGGAAUAAUGUAGAGUAAGUAGAAAUUACAAAAAAAAAAAAGGGUUUACCUCUUUUAACAAACUAAUGCCUAGGAAGCAACUCUUAGCAAGCUGCCCAGACACCUAGGCACCACUUUUGACAACAAUAGUCACACCACUAGUAAACAAAUUCGAUGACUAGAACAAAACCGAAUAGAACAAGUUCAUGUUUCUUUGUAGUAGGAGUAUUACAGUAAUACUGGGAAAACAAUCUUUUCAUGGAAAAAGCAAUCAAAGUUCAAAAGGGGCAGGACAACACUUUGAAGUACACACUAAAGUUGUUAAAAAUAUCAAGAGGAGUUCUUUAAAUUAAAACUUGUGAUCAGAUUGUCGAACCUCAAAGAAAUGCAAUGGUUAUCAUCAUUGUAUCUUUCUCCAUAUUCCUUUAUUACUAUCUGCUUGUUGUUCAUCUGAUUUUGCAUUCUCAUAGUUUUAGGCUUUCAAGUCUUCAAGUAACCCUUCUUGCGUCAAUUUAGAUGAUCCUCUCCCAUAACCCUUCUUGCAUCAAUAAGCUUUCUCUAAAUAUAUGUAUUUGAAUUCUGUGAUGCUUAGUUCUAGCAAAUUGCUUUCAUAAUAUAUCAUGCACUCAGACCCUCUUUAUUUCCCAACAUGGAAUCCCUGCAAUAUCACGUAUAGUAUUGUCUCCAUCCUUAAGUCACAAAGGAAAGGGUACUACAUGAAAUCCUAAAAACCCUUUUGAUUGAAUACACCCCCUCUUAUUGGUUACAAGUGUUUUUGUGUAUCCUUCAAGUUGUUUGCAACUGUGCCAAAAAAAUUUAUUCCAUGAGAGCAUAUAUUCAUCUAACAAGAACAAUGAUACCUUCUCAAUGUCAGCAUAUAUUCAUCUAACAAAAGCAUCCUCAGAUGCAAGCUUAGAACAGAUCUUGCAUGAUCAAAAAAAUUGCUUGCCUCGACACAGGAUCCCAAAUUAGUGAUAAACAUAGUAUACAUGUUACAGUUCCAUAAACUGGAUUCUCAAACAGGGGAUCAUCCAGCCACUGAAAGUUAAGAAAAUCACAUUGCACUGCCAAUGAGACGCGUAGUUCCCAUUUUAUUCAAGUUGCCAAAAGUUCUUUUAAUUGAAGAUGGUUAUCACUCAGUUUACAUGCUACAUAGAUAUUCCACCCUUAAAUUAUGACCAAUUCCAAACAAAGACAUCUCAACAAAUCAACUCUAUAAGUCAUUAUUUUGGAAGGAUAGAAAGAAAAACCCCUAAAAAAGGGGAAAAAGGGGGUUAAAGUAUACCUUAUUUGAAUUUGGCACAAGCUCCUGCAGAUUCUUCAUUCGCUCAGCGAUUUUCUCUCUCCGAAGCUGCAUUUUGCAGGUAACUUUCAAAUUAUAUUGUAUUGAGAAAAUGUAAAACAACUAGUAAAGCAACAAUUUCAUAUUCACAUAACCAAUAAAAACAACUAAAGAAAGGAAAACCUUAUUAAAACAAACUUGUUAAGGUCAUCCACGUAGCCAGGCUUGUCAUAAGACAUGACAACAGAAUUAUAAACUAACCCGUUCUGCAAUACUAUGAGGAUCUGUGGCCUGUCCACGACGUGCUCUCACACGUGGCUUGACAGCUCCAUUGCAACCACCACCAGCAUUAGCUGGAGCUGAUUGUGAUUGAGUACUAGAAGUGUGAUUCAUGUGAUGCUUGCUGGUGUUCCCUUGAGGAGAUGGUGGCAACUAUAUAUGGCAACAAGAGGAGCACUCUCAUCAAAUAAAAAUGUAAAAUUAGGUAUAGCUGUAUAGAUAUAGAGUAAACAUACAGAUAACUAAGUAUAAAACCUGUUGACAAAUCUGUACUCCUGCUGUUUUAGUUGAUGACAUUUGUGGUGGAGAAGCCAAUGAGGGCAAACAAAGGUUGUGCAGCCCAUUUUGCUCCUGCAAGUAUGGGCAUCUUAAGUUUGAAUGACUUGCAAGGACAGCUAAAAACAGGUGUUAAAUAAGUAUGUAGUACCUGUUUCUGCAAACCACCACUAGUCAAUUUUAUCUGUUGUCCAGCACUGAAAGAAGGCAAAUUAGGGUUAUGAAGCUCAUUAUGUUCCUACAAGUGACAUUUGAAUAUAAAGAGGGUUAGAAUAGUAAUCGUCAGUUAGAGGAGACAGGUAUAUUUCCAGAAUAUGCAUAUGUAACUUUUACAUGAAGAGAUGCUGCAGGCAAAUCUUCCAGCUGUGCAAAUUUGCCAUUCUCGACAGAUGUUUCCCUCAACAUAACAUUAUCACUUUCCAGCCCUUGGAAACCAAAUGCUUGUAGUCUCCCUUGUCCCAUUAAAGAAGAAACACCUGUGUAUGAUGAAGGCCACAUUGCAGGAAGUGAAGAAAUUGAAUGGGUAUCUCCAAGUGACUGCCGGAAGUUAGAUAAUUCACUGCCAUUGCUCUCAAUGGAACUGGACAUGGUCAGUGUGCUAUGAGGAAGUGUUACAGAGCAUGAUGGAUUCAAUUCCGAACCAAAUGUUUCUGCUGUUGAAUUACUCUCAAUAACACCCUGUAGUGAGAAGCUACUUUCCUGUGUCACAUUAUCUUGGAAGGAUGGCUGUGAGUUUUGUCUAUGUACCUUAUGCAUAGAUAACUUCCCACUAGGAAAAAUGUCCUUAUCAAUGCCAUACUUUAUAUUUCCAUCAAGGAACAUGGAAGAGUUGCUGUCGUGGCUAAGCAGAUUUAAUUCUUCCAUACACG
rnacentral:lncRNA from 1 species